AAAGUUGAAACAACGGUUCCCAUAUGUCCACUGAAGUUAAGAAAUGUUGAACCUGCUCAGUAUGUGGAUGGGUGACCACUUGGGAAUACCAAGUGCUGUAAG